rnacentral:rRNA from 1 species
UACAGAGGGUGCGAGCGUUAAUCGGAAUUACUGGGCGUAAAGCGUGCGUAGACGGUUAUUUAAGUCGGAUGUGAAAGCCCCGGGCUCAACCUGGGAAUUGCAUUCGAGACUGAAUAGCUAGGGUGCGGUAGAGGGAAGCGGAAUUUCCGGUGUAGCGGUGAAAUGCGUAGAUAUCGGAAGGACAUUAGUGGCGAAGGCGGGUCUCUGGGCAACUACUGACGCUGAGGAGCGAAAGCGUGGGGAGCGAACAGG